AUCGAACGCUGGCGGCAGGCCGAACACAUGCAAGUCGAGCGGAGCGGCGGACGGGCAAGUAAUACCUAGGAAUCUGGAUGGUAGUGGGGGAUAACGUCCGGAAACGGGCGCUAAUAGCGCAUGCUAUCAGAUGAGCGUAGGUCGGAUUAGCUGGUGGGUGGGGUAAAGGCCUACCAAGGGGACGAUCCGUAACUGGUCUGAGGGGAGGAUCAGUCACACUGGAACUUAGACCCGGCCGAGACUCCUACGGGAGGCAGCCGUGGGGAACCUUGCGCAAUGGGCGAUAGCCUGAUCCAGCCAGGCCGCGUGUGUGAGGAAGGUCUUCGGAUUGUAAAGCACUUUAAGUUGGGCGGCGUUACCAACAGAAUAAGCACCUGCUCACUCCGUGCCAGCCGCCGCGGUAAUUC
rnacentral:rRNA from 1 species